rnacentral:rRNA from 1 species
CAGCCGCGCGGUAAUACGUAGGUGGCAAGCGUUGUUCGGAAUUACUGGGCGUAAAGGGCUCGCAGGCGGUUUCUUAAGUCUGAUGUGAAAGCCCCCGGCUCAACCGGGGAGGGUCAUUGGAAACUGGGAAACUUGAGUGCAGAAGAGGAGAGUGGAAUUCCACGUGUAGCGGUGAAAUGCGUAGAGAUGUGGAGGAACACCAGUGGCGAAGGCGACUCUCUGGUCUGUAACUGACGCUGAGGAGCGAAAGCGUGGGGAGCGAACAGGAUUAGAUACCCCAGUAGUCCCUGUCUCUUAUACA